rnacentral:lncRNA from 1 species
CUGUAAUCCCAGCACUUUGGGAGGCUGAGGCGGGUGAAUCACGAGGUCAGGAGUUCAAAACCAGCCUUGCCAAGAUGAUGAAACUCCAUCUCUACUAAAAAUACAAAAAAAUUAGCCGGGCGUGGUGGCGGGCGCCUGUGGUCCCAGCUACUCGGGAGGCUGAGGCAGGAGAAUGGCUGAACCCGGGAGGCGGAGCUUGCAGUGAGCCGAGAUCACGCCACUGCACUCCAGCCUGGGCGACAGAGC